rnacentral:rRNA from 1 species
AUUGAACGCUGGCGGCAGGCCUAACACAUGCAAGUCGAGCGGGGUUUUCGGACCUAGCGGCGGACGGGUGAGUAAUGCGUAGGAAGCUGCCCGAUAGAGGGGGAUACCAGUUGGAAACGACUGUUAAUACCGCAUAAUGUCUACGGACCAAAGUGUGGGACCUUCGGGCCACAUGCUAUCGGAUGCGCCUACGUGGGAUUAGCCAGUUGGUGGGGUAAUGGCCUACCAAGGCGACGAUGCGUAGCUGGUCUGAGAGGACGAUCAGCCACACUGGAACUGAGACACGGUCCAGACUCCUACGGGAGGCAGCAGUGGGGAAUCUUGCGCAAUGCACGAAAGUGUGACGCAGCAACGUCGCGUGCGGGAAGAAGGUCUUCGGAUCGUAAACCGCUUUCAGUUGGGACGAGGGUCAGCUGGUGAAUAGCCAGUCUGACUGACGGUACCUUCAGAAGAAGCCCCGGCUGACUACGUGCCAGCCGCCGCCGUAACAC